GGGGGCGAUAGGUUUCGACAGGGAAAGAGCUGGUUUAAGUUGCGAGCCGAGGCGCCGCUGGCCUCGUAAAAAGCGGCAAAGGCUAUAAACGCCAGAAACACAAUGCCAGCAAUGGCAAUGGCUGCCUAACAGUAGCCCAUCCGACCGGCCUAAGCCGGCGUGGCCGGAUCCGGGUGUCACUAAAGUCGGCUCACUCCGGCGUACGCUUGUAACGCUUGGAGGAAAUAAAACGAGCUAGCGCUGUCGAAGCCCGCCUGCAGGCGGCCAAAGCGCGAAUAACAAAAUGCAGGCUACGCUCGUAGGCGCUUUUACCAGCUUUUCUCUGGACCCGGGUUCGAGUCCCGGCGCCUCCACCA
rnacentral:tmRNA from 1 species